GUUUAUGCAAAUCACUACUUCUCUAUAUCCAAAAUACACUCGACCGCGGUGCUGGCCGCCACGAAGGAGAUGAGGUCGAGUACCCACAGGGCGAAGUAGAGACACAACAAGGAGUUUCUUCAAUGGACUGGGAGCAAUCACAGGCAGCUAUUGACGACCAACUCCGCUCCUUCUUCAACUGA
rnacentral:sRNA from 1 species